rnacentral:lncRNA from 1 species
CCUGGCUUCAGAAAGAAGCCAACAAGGAGCGUUUUGCAGAAUGAAACCUUUGUUUCCAGAAGCACUGCUGACUGUAAGUGGUUGCCGUUUGUGGCAGUGAGCAUUUUGUCCAUUCUGAGGUUGGAUUGGUUUCUCCUUUUGGCCUUGCCCUGCCCUACAGACCAUAAAGGAGAACAGCAAGAAGCCCCCAGCAAACAUCCACAUAUGGCCCUGGACAUCAGCCACAUUCUGAGGAACAUGUCAUGUUCUGGGAGGGCUAAGGCAUCAACCUUACCCUGUAGGAAUUCUAGUGACUAUGUUGCCACCAUCUUGGAGCUCCAUGCCCUCAUAGUGUAAUGGCACCAGCAGAUCUGCCUGUGCACAGACUUCCUGUACUACCUCACUCCUGAGGGGAGAUGCUUCUGCGGGCCUGCGACCUGGUGCUCAACUUUAGACACCAUCAUCCUGGAGCGGCACUGCACCCUCACUA